UUUUGUUUAACAAAACACCUCCCACCAUUAUUUUUUUUAAAUUAAAAAAAAUUUUUUUGCUAUAUUAAAGGAUUUCUUUUUUCUAAAUUCAACCAUGUAUAUUACAGUUAUGUUACGAAAUAUCUUUUUUGAGAAUUAAUUAUAAAGAUUUCCGUAUAUAAGCUAUCCGUGCUCAUAUGCGCUUUGUAUUAUAAUUUAAAAACAAUUUAACAAAUUGCACAUACAUUUUAAUUGAAAACACGUGAUUUAUACUUAUCUUGAAUAUACAUGUAAGUCUAAUAAGAGAUAAAAAUUAAUUAAAUUGAAAACAUAUUAAUUGAAAACAUUUAAUUCAUCACGUUCUUGAUAUGAGGGAUACGUGACUUUUAGUUCAUUAUAUAUAUAAAAGAAAACGUACAAAAAUUAUUGCUAUAUAUAUAUAAUAAACUAAAAGUCACGUAUCCCUCAUAUCAAGAACGUGAUGAAUUACAUGUUUCAAUUAAAAUGUUUUCAUCAAAUAUAAUUAAUCUUUAUCUCUUAUUAGGCUAACGUGUACACUCAAGAUAAGUAUAAAUUGACAGUAUAAAUAUAGUCAUGUAGCAGUCUUACGUUCAAUCAGUGCAAUCGUUUUGUAAUAAUCAUAUGUGUGCAAUUCGUUAAAUUGAUUUUAAAUUAUAAUACAAAGCAAAGUUUAACAUCUUUACAAAUGAUUCUCAAUCCGCUUAAUGUUGUUAGACUUUUAUUGGCAUCUAUAAGUUCAAUAUAUCUAACAAAAACGCCAGUAACUGAAGCAGAAAUACAAUUAAAAGAAGACAUACAAAAAUUAUUGCUAGAUAGCAUUUUUCACUAUAAUGGAUUGGAAGUGAUGGAAGAAACCUACCUCGAUUAUCAAGAACCUUAUAAAUUACACAGUUUCGAAAUAAUUGAAGAUGACAAAGAAGCAUGGAGUGAAGAUAAUUUAAAUUCUCAUCUACAGUGUUCAAACAGUGAAGUAAAUUUUGACAGUACUUAUAAAAGACGAGCUGUUGAAUAUUGGCGGAAUUUAGACGAUAAUAAAGAAAUUAACCACAAAAAAAGGCAUCGUUCUCUAAAAUCAGUACAAAGUAAAUUUAAAAGAGUUUCAUCUAAACGUCAGUUAAGACGAUGGGAAGAACAACUACAAUCAACUGGAAAUCGUUUGGAAAAAUUAUCUUAUAUCUCCAAAUUUACACAUGAUAAAUUUACUGCAGCUAUUGAAUCAGGAUUUAUGGUUCAUGAUAUCGAUUUAAAAAGAUGGGCUUUACAAGCUCAAGAAGAAAUAGGAAAUGUAAUUCCUAUAUUUAAAGCAUCUCACAGCUGGAUAUCAAGAUUCAAAAAAUCCCAUCGAAUUGUUUCAAGAAAAGUUACGAAGUUUGUAACUAAAAGAACAGUGGAAGAUUCUAUUGAUUUACAAAACUCAGCAAAUAAUUUUUUAAAAACAGUGAAACCACUUAUUGAACAGUUUGGAGCAGAAAAUGUUUAUAAUUCUGAUCAAAGUGGUUUUUAAUUAGAAAUACAUUUUGGAAGAUCAUUGUCUCCUAAAGGAAUAAAAAAAGUAGGGCGUAUCGUACAAUCUGUGUCAUCAACAACCCAUUCAUACACGAUACAACCAAUAAUAUCAUGUAAUGGUAAUUUGCUGUCACCUUUAUUUAUUGUUUUGAAAGAAGCUAACGGCGAAUUUGGACCGAGAGUACAAGAAACUUUAUUUAAACUAACAAAUGUUAUUGUAAAAGCAUCGAAAUCUGGUAAAAUGACAUCAGAUCAUUUUAAAAUGUGGUUAGAAGCUUAUUUUUCAAACAUUGGUUCUAAUAGCGUUCUUCUUAUCGAUUCAUGGACCGGACAUUGUCCCAAUAUCAUUUCGGAUUUAACACCUCUAGAUAAACAUAUUACUACCAUGAUUAUACCGAAAGGUACUACAGGAAAAAUACAACCAUUAGAUGUUUACGGAUUUAGAAUUUGGAAAAAUUUUGCUAAAAGAUUUUCAGAUAUAGUUUUAUUAUUGGAAUGUGAUAUAAAUUUGCAUGAACGAAAUAAUAUAAUAAAAUUGCAAUCUUUGAUACAUAAUCAAUUGUCAUCCCCGCGAUAUCGUAACUUAUUUAAAUAUUCGUGGUUUAAAAGUGGUUAUACGAACGAAAGACUACAGGAAUUUAAAAAUCCAGUAGAAUUUAGUUUGGAUGAUACUUCAACAACAUGUGAUGUCGAAGGUUGCAAUAAUGUAGCUAUAGUAAAAUGUUCAUGGUGCAAAAAAUCAUUAUGUUUAAAACAUUUCUUCGUUGAGUAUCAUUAUUGCAAUGAGUAUAAUGAGUAAAUGAUACAAUACAAAAUGUAUAAAUUUAUUGUAUAAAUAUUUAAAAACUAUUUUAUUAAUACAUAUUUAGAAAUGAUUGUGAUGAUGUAAAUCACAAUUUUAUUAUGUAAAUAAACAAAAUAUAAAAGCAUAAGACCAAAAAUAGCUUUAAGAAAAUAAUCACAAGAUAUAAAGAAAUAAUGUACAGAAAUUAGUAAAAUAAAAAAAUUUACUAAUUUUAAAGAAAAGUAAUAAAAACCAUUAUAAUUCUUAAUAUUAUUUAUAAUUUAUAAUUUGUGAUGCUAGAAUCAAUUAUAUAGAUUUCUAUUAUAUAUCUUAUCAAAAUUGUGUAUAAUCUUGUUUAGACGAUAAUUAUUUGCGUACAUGAGCACGGAUAGCUUAUAUACGGAAAUCUUUAUAAUUAAUUCUCAAAAAUGAUAUUUCGUAACAUAACUUUAAUAUACAUGGUU
rnacentral:misc_RNA from 1 species